AACGAACGCUGGCGGCAUGCCUAACACAUGCAAGUCGAACGAGACCUUCGGGUCUAGUGGCGCACGUGUGCGUAACGCGUGGGAACCUGCCCUUAGGUUCGGAAUAACUCCCCGAAAGGUGUGCUAAUACCGGAUAAUGUCUUCGGACCAAAGAUUUAUCGCCUUUGGAUGGGCCCUCGUUGGAUUAGCUGGUUGGUAGGGUAAAAGCCUACCAAGGCGACGAUCCAUAGCUGGUCUGAGAGGAUGAUCAGCCACACUGGGACUGAGACACGGCCCAGACUCCUACGGGAGGCAGCAGUGGGGAAUAUUGGACAAUGGGCGAAAGCCUGAUCCAGCAAUGCCGCGUGAGUGAUGAAGGCCUUAGGGUUGUAAAGCUCUUUUACCCGGGAUGAUAAUGACAGUACCGGGAGAAGAAGCUCCGGCUAACUCCGUG
rnacentral:rRNA from 1 species